rnacentral:lncRNA from 1 species
AGAAACAGCAAAUCACCCUCUAAGCAUCUCCAUGUAUAAGGUUGCUGCUCCAACUUACACCAGAGCUGAAAUGCAGCCUAUGUUCUUUCUCUUUUCAGGUAGGGAUGAAUACCAUCCAGGAACAAAAGAACAAGUGAAUAAAGUGUCCUAAGCAAUUUUUGCAAAGAAUAUACAUUUUUAAGUUGUUCUGGAGAUGAUAAGGAUUGGACCUUAGCACCAGCAACCUCCAGCAGACUGCAAUGGCUCUGCCUUUAAUACACUUCCACCCGUGUGUGUUAUACAGCCGUAAUACUGAACACAUGAGGCAGACAGCUGCCCUGAGGCAUUCUCUGUUAAAAACUUUCAUAUCACUACGGAACUGAAUGCACCAUUAUAACACCACGUCUCCUCUUCUUCACUCUGCUGCUUCCUCAUAACUGAGACCUGUGUAGUGCAAAUGAAAGCAGUUUUCUGGAUGAAGCAACCUUUUCCUCAGAGUCUUGGGCUCCACAUCCACUCCCUGCCAGGACAGGUGCAUCCCACACAGUUUGUGUCCAGCCUUCCUCUAUCAGGCAUGCUGUAACUUCUGCCGUUUUUUUCAGCCCACAGUGAGUCAACCUGGGCAUAGCUGAAGGAAUACCAAAACAGGUGCAGCCCAGGAAUGUGUGACCAGCUAGGAAUUAUCCCCAUCUUUUCCUCUCCCAGAGAAGGCUACUUAAAACUCUUGGAUGAACAUCCACCAGCUGUUAUCCAAUGAACAGAAGUUAAAUAUGCAGCGGGGGGCAGGGUGAGGGGAAUUAGCCUGCCCAUACAGCCUACACGUGGGUGCGAGAAAAAGGGUAAGUAAAACGGAAGCAAAAAAGCUUUUAGCCUUAUAUUCCCCUGGAUUCCUCAA